rnacentral:lncRNA from 1 species
UUUAUUGGGGGGGGGGAAUCCAAAAAAUUUGGGGUCGGAAUCGCAAAAUUUGGGGUCGGGGUACAAAAAAUGGGGCUGGGGUCCCGAAAUUUGGGGUCGGAAUCACAAAAUUUAGGGCUAGGACCCCGAAAUUUGGGGUCAAGGUCCCAAAAUUUGGGUCCAGAACCUCAAAAUUUGGGGUCGGAAUCACAAAAUUUGGGGCUGGGGUCCCAAAAUUUGGGGUCAGAAUGAGAAAAUUUGGGGUCGGGGUCCCAAAAUUUGGGUUCAGAAGCCUAAAAAUGGGGCUGGGGUCCCAAAAAUGGGGUUGGGGUCCAAAAAUUUGGGGUCAGAAUCACAAAAUUUGGGGUUGGGGUCCCAAAAUUUGGGGUUGGAGGGGUGAAAAUGGAGCUGGGGUCCCAAAAUUUGGGGUCAAGGUCCCGAAAUUUGGGGUCAGAAUCCCAAAAUUUGGGAUUGGGGUCCUAAAAUUUGGGGCUGGGGUCCCAAAAAUGGGGUCGGGGUCUCAAAAUUUGGGGUCAGAAUUACAAAAUUUGGGGUUGCGGUCUCAAAAUUGGGGGCGAGGACCCCGAAAUUUGGGGUUGAGACCCCAAAAAUGGGUCUGGGGUCCCAAAAUGUGGAUUGGGGACCCUAAAUGUGGGGCUGGGGUCUCAAAAAUGGGGUUGGGACCCCAAAAUCUGAGUCCAGAACCCCAAAAUUUGGGUUCAGAACCCCAAAAUUUGGGUUAAGGACCCCAAAUUUGGGGCCGGGGUAACAAAAUCGGGUCCAGAACCCCAAAAUUUGGGGCUGGGGUCCCAAAAAUUGGAACAGGUGACCCCUGGUGUGGUCAGUGUCCAUUUUAAUGUCCACUCUGUGUCCACUCUGUGUCCACUCUGUGUCCACUCCAUUCAUUUCUGGAUGGUCAGUUGGUCACUCCCAUGUGGUCAGUUGGUCAGUGGCCAUUCCUGGCUGGUCACUCAGUGGUCAGCGGUCACUCCAUGGUCAUUCUCAGGCCAGCACGUGGUCACUCAGUGGUCACUCAGUGGUCACUCUCAGGCCAGCCUAUGGUUACUCU